AGACUAAUGAACUCAUUAUCAUGCAACUUAAUGAGAGGCUAUGAUCUAGUUAUCCCCAUAACUAGCUUAUUUUAUGGAUCUAAUAAUUUAGAAGAUUUUGUUAAUGAUUUGAUUUGAGAAGUAAUUAACCGACGAGUCUUUAAACCUGCUACUGACUUCAUCAAAUCAUGAAGAGGAUUAGUGUUGCCCAGCUAUGCAACCCAAGAGGGAGGGGGG
rnacentral:lncRNA from 1 species